rnacentral:rRNA from 1 species
UACGAAGGGGGCAAGCGUUACUCGGAAUUACUGGGCGUAAAGCGUGCGUAGGUGGUUUGUUAAGUCUGUUGUGAAAGCCCCGGGCUCAACCUGGGAAUGGCAAUGGAUACUGGCAGGCUAGAGUGCGGUAGAGGGUAGUGGAAUUCCCGGUGUAGCGGUGAAAUGCGUAGAGAUCGGGAGGAACACCAGUGGCGAAGGCGGCUCCCUGGACCAGCACUGACACUGAGGCACGAAAGCGUGGGGAGCAAACAGG